rnacentral:rRNA from 1 species
UGGGGAAUAUUGCACAAUGGGCGAAAGCCUGAUGCAGCGACGCCGCGUGCGGGAUGAAGGCCUUCGGGUUGUAAACCGCUUUUGAUUGGGAGCAAGCGAGAGUGAGUGUACCUUUCGAAUAAGCACCGGCUAACUACGUGCCAGCAGCCGCGGUAAUACGUAGGGUGCAAGCGUUAUCCGGAAUUAUUGGGCGUAAAGAGCUCGUAGGCGGUUUGUCGCGUCUGGUGUGAAAGUCCAUCGCUUAACGGUGGAUCUGCGCCGGGUACGGGCAGGCUAGAGUGCGACAGGGGAGACUGGAAUUCCCGGUGUAACGGUGGAAUGUGUAGAUAU